rnacentral:rRNA from 1 species
ACGCCGUCUGGUGGAUGGCUAGGCUUGAGAGACGAUGAAGGGCGUGGCAAGCUGCGAUAAGCUUCGGGUAGGCGCAGGCAGCCUUUGAUCCGAAGAUUCCCGAAUAGGACUUCCUAUCAAGAUGCCGCAAGGUAUCUUGGUGUUCCGUUAGGAACGUGAACCCUCCGGAGUGAAGCAUCUGAGUAGGAGGAGGAAAAGAAAUCAAUUGAGAUCCCCCUAGUAGCGGCGAGCCAAAAGGGGAAAGCCUAAACUGAAUCCCGCAGGGUGACUUGUGGGAGAUGUGGGGUAUGUCGACAGCGUUUGCAGCUCUCUGUUCUUUGUGCUGAAGUGGCUUGGAACAGCCUAACGUAGAGGGUGAUAUUCCCGUAAGCUUGGGGAACNNNNNNNNNNNNNNNNNNNNNNNNNNNNNNNNNNNNNNNNNNNNNNNNNNNAUGGGGGAAAGCAGCCUCCAAGGCUAAACACUACUCAAGACCGAUAGUGUACUAGUAUCGUGAGCGAAAGCUGAAAAGAACCCUGAAAGGGGUGUGAAAAGAGACUGAAACCAGACGGUUACAGACGUUUACCGCCUGAAAGGGGUCGACAGGUCUUUGUGAGAUCAUCCUUCGGGAUGGUCUUGCGGAGGCCGAUUAGCGCCCCAGGGUGGUAUAUUCCGUCUAGAAACACGGGCCAGGGAGUUUACUGUCAUGGCGAGCUUAAGGGUUAAAAGCCCGGAAGCGUAGGGAAACCAACUUUCUGCAGCAGCCUUCGGGCUGUAAGGGAAGAGGUCUGAAAGGGCCUUGAGUCAUGGCGGUAAGACUAGAAACCGCACGAUCGUGCCCUGGGUAGGAUGAAGCUGGGCGAAAGCCUGGUGGAGGUCCAAAAGGGUCCUGACGUGCAACUCGGUCCCCUAACCUGGGGCAAGGGGCCAAAAGCCAAUCUAGUGCGGUGAUAGCUAGUUCCCACCGAAGCGGGUCGCAGCCCGGCCUGGUUGGAUGUAGCCGACGCUGUAGAGCACCGAUGUGAAAGCAAGGGAUCGAAAGGUCCCACUUUCGUUUCGAACUCCGAAGGUGUCGACGCAUAAGAAGACCAGAUGCGGGUUUAUGUGGGGUAAGCCUCAUAACCGAGAGGGGGACAACCCAGACUGAAGUUAAGGCCCCCAAAUAUCGGCUAAGUGUCAAACUAAAGGGCGUCCUCGAGCCAAGACAGCAGGAAGAUAGGCUUAGAAGCAGCCAUUCUUCAAAGAGUGCGUAACAGCUCACCUGUCGAGCUUGGGGGCCCCGAAAAUGAUCGGGGCUAAAGUCGAUUGCCGAUACUUCAGAUCGCGAGUAAAUCUCGCGUGUGGUAGGUGGGCGUGGGGGUUGGGUAGAAGUAGGGCCGUGAGGUCCUGUGGACUGACCUCUAUUGCAGAUCCUGGUAGUAGUAGCAGCGUAGUCGGGUGGGAAUCCCGACCAUCGAAAGGGCAAGGGUUUCCUGGCAACGCGUCGUCGUCCAGGAGUCAGCCGGUCCUAAGCAUAACCCCAAAGGAGUUGUGCGAAUCGGGAAACCGGUUAAUAUUCCGGUGCCUUGAGACUUCGUGCACGCAAGUGCGUAUUCGGCUCAGCUUUCUUCCAGAUCAGGUGAGCAAGGUUGUCGCCUUGUUUAAUCGUUCAAGAUUGGGGGAGUGUCGUAAUGACGAGAACCCAUUCGAGGCGAGAAUAGCCGGCCUAUGGCUGGUUCACCUUAUUCCGGGAGACAGUGAAACCUGAUCCGAUGAGAAGUUUUCAAGUCCGUACCUAGAACCGACACAGGUGCCCUAGGUAAGAAGCCUCAGAUGUAUCGGGUAUAUGGUAGGCAAGGGAACUCGGCAAAUUAGCCCCGUACCUUCGGUAUAAGGGGUGCCUGCGAUCCUAGUGAGAAGCUGGGACCGCAGGUCGCAGUGACAAGGAGGUCCCGACUGUUUAAUAAAAACACAGGGAACUGCUAGCCCGAAAGGGUGUGUAUAGUUCCUGAAUCCUGGCCAGCAACGGUACCUAAAACCUGGGUCAACUGGGCUAAGGGCCGUUUAACGCCGGGAGUAACUCUGACUCUCUUAAGGUAGCCAAAUGCCUUGUCGGGUAAGUUCCGACGUGCAUGAAUGGACCAACGAGGGCCUCGCUGUCCCUGUCUACCACCCGGCGAACCUACGUUACUCGGACGAACAGUCCGAGGACUUCUAUAGGGAAGAGAAGACCCUGUGGAGCUUUACUGCAGCUUGUUGCUGCGGCACGACUUCAGAUGCAGAGUGUAGCUGGGAGCCGUUAUGCAUCCACUCUCGGGUGGGUGAUAGGCGAAAGUGUAACACCAGCCUUUUGAAGUUGUGCCGCUAACCGGGAGACCGGGACACCGGCAGGUGGGCAGUUUGGCUGGGGCGGCACCCCCUUGAAAAGGUAUCGAGGGGGCCCAAAGGUCGGCUCAGGUGGGUCAGAACUCCACCGCCGAGGGCAAGGCUAAAAGCCGGCCUGACUGGGUUCUCCAACGCAAGGAACUCAGGAGCGAAAGCUUGGCCUAGCGAUCCUCCAUGUCCCCACUGUUGGGGGCUGAAGGUGACAGAAAAGUUACCCCAGGGAUAACAGGCUUGUCGCGGGCGAGAGCUCCAAUCGACCCCGCGGAUUGGUACCUCGAUGUCGGCUCUUCCCAUCCUGGUCCUGCAGCAGGGGCCAAGGGUGGGGCUGCUCGCCCAUUAAAGGGGAACGUGAGCUGGGUUUAGACCGUCGUGAGACAGGUCGGACUCUAUCUUAUAGAAGCGGUGGUUGUUUGAGGGGAAGCUGUCCUUAGUACGAGAGGAACAGGGCAGCGUGGCCUCUGGCGUACCGGUUGUCUGAUAAGGCAAUUGCCGGGCAGCUAAGCCAUUGAGGAUAAGAGCUGAAAGCAUCUAAGCUCGAAGCCUCUCCUGAGAAUAGACAACCUUUCACAUUACUGCCUCUUUCGGGAGGCAGGUGUGGACGAGAGCCGGGAUACAAGAUCCCGUUGAUGGAGCAGAGGUGUGCGCUGGAAGGCUUAGGCCGACCAGUUAAGCCUGCUGCCCCCAAUCGCUCAAGGCGUUAGAU